UUGUUUUCCAAACUGUCACUUAUGUACAUAUAUACUAGGUCUAGCAAAAUCUUUCAUUCUUUGAACACAACUCCAAAGGCAGCACAAAUUAUACUUCUAUCUGCCAUGGAUACUAUAUGCGAAUUGUCUGAAGAUGAACUGAGGUGGGAGGCAGCAGGAGAAUCGGUGCACGUCAAGCGACCUGUUUGGGCUAUUGAUCCAGAGAUCAUUCGAAAGCAUUUGCCAGCGAAAGAAGUGCGAGAUCCUCCUCCGGACCUUUCCCCGAAGUAUAUUCGGCAAGGUGGAGUAUUCUUUGAGCUACGCUGCGACGGGCUCGUUUCGAUCCCUAAAAAAAAAUACAAGAUCUCAUAUAUGGAGGUGGUCACGAUCGUCAUGGUGGUACCACUUAUCUUUUGGGCCUUCAAAUAUAGAGAUUCCUUGGUACGCAUCGGAGAUACCAUAAAGUUUGUAUGGACGGAUCAUUCGUAUUAUGAUGCUUUGACUAUAUAUUUAAUUUAACAACUGAAUCAGAUACCAAUAAGAAAUGGUAAUAAAGAAGCCCUGAUGGGCCUACUUCUGGCCCGUUGAAAACAUCA